AGACCCUUUAACAUCUUUCGAAAAUGUCAAAUCAAAUCCGCCGGCUGUUAAGAUCUAUGCCACCGUGAUUAUCUUCGCCGUCGUCAUCUCUAACCUUAUCUGUUCGGUGUUUUCGAAAGAAGAGGGGAGGGGAAUCAAAGAUUCCCCGUUUCUUCAGACCCUUCAAUCCCUUUCGAGAACAUUAAAUCAAUCCACAAAACUUUCAAACCAGUUCAGAUUCAAGCCACAUCAAGAUCAAAACGGAAAUUUCUUCGGACCCCAAAUCGAGAUCAAGCGGGGAUUUUUUCGGACCCCAAAUCGAGAUCAAACGGGGAUUUCUUCGGACCCCAAAUCGAGAUCAAACAGGAAUUUCUUUGGACCCCAAAUCGAAAUCAAACGGGAAUUUCUUCGGACCCCAAAUCAAGAUCAAAACGGGAAUUUCUUCAAACCCAAAAUCAAAUUAGAAUCAAAAGGAGAUUUCGUCGGACUCCAAAUCGAAUUGCAAAAUUAAAAGAGAAUUUUCUCGGACCCGAAAUAGAAUUGAAAAAAAAACUAAGUCCACAAAUAAAACCCAAAUCCAAACCCAAAAUCCAAACCUAAACCCAUAAAACCCAAAUCCAACCCAAGUCCACAAAUAAAAACUCCAAACCAAAACCUAAAUAAAAAAAACCCAAAACCAAACCAAGUCCACAAAUAAAACUUGAACCUGAACCCAAAUCCAUAAACCUAACCUCAUGAACCAUAUACCAAGUUCAUGAACUACGAACCAUAUCCAUGAACCUUACCGAAGUUCGUGAACCAAAUCUCAUGAACCAUACCCAAGUUCAUGAACCACAUCAUACUCAAGUUCAUGAAUCAAAUCUCAUACACCAAAUCUAUGAACCAUGAACCAAGUUCAUGAACUAUACACCAUAUCCCAUGGACCAUACCUAGGUUCAUGAACCAAGUCACAUGAACCAUAAACCAACCCUCAUAAAUCAUACACCAAGUUCAUGAAUUAUAAACCAAGUUCAUGAACCGUACCGUAUGAAUCAUGAACUAAAUCCCAUGAACCAUGAACCAAGUUCAUGAACUAUAAACCAUAUCCAUAAACCAUACACCAAUCCAUGAACCAUACACCAUAUCCCAUGAACCAUACCUAAGUUCAUGAACCAUGAACCAAGUCCAUAAACUAAGUCCAUAAAGCAAAUCUAUGAACCAUAUCCAAGUUCAUGAACCAAAUUCCAUACACCAAACCCAAUGGACCAUAUCCAAGUUCAUGAAACAAAUCCAAUAACCGAACACCAUGAACCAUACCCAAGUUCAUGACUCAAGUCUCAUGUUCAUAAACCAUAAACCAAACCUCAUGAACCAUACCCAAGUUCAUAAACCAUGAACCAAACCUCAUGAGCCAUACACCAAGUUCAUGAACUAUAAACCAAACCCCAUAAACCAUGGACCAAAUUCAUGAACCCAAUCCCAUAAACCAUACCCAAGUUCAUGAACUAAAUAUCAUGAACCAUACAUCAAACCCUAUGAGUUAUAAACCUCAUGAACUAUACACCACAUCCCAUGAACCAAAUUUCAUAUGCCAAACUUUAUGAACCAUACCCAAGUUCAUGAACCAAACCAAAUUCUAUGAGCCAUACACCAAACCAUGUCCAAAUCUCAUGAACUCUACCCAAAUCUCAUGAACCAUAAGCCAUACCCAAGUUCAUGAACCAAACCCCAUAAACCAUACCCAAGUUCAUGAACCAAACAAACCUAACCCCAUGAACCAUGAACCAAGUUCAUGAACCAAAUCUCAUGAACCAUACACCAAUUCCAUACAUGAACCAAACAAACCUAACCCCAUGAACCAUAAACCAAGUUCAUGAACCAAAUCCCAUGAACCAUACACCAAUUCCAUACAUUAACCAAACAAACCAAACCCCAUAAACAAUACACCAUGUUCAUGAACCAUAAACUAAAUCUCAUGAACCAUGAACCAAAUCCCAUAUACCAAAUCCUAUACACCAAAUCUCAUGAACCAUACAUCAAGCUCAUGCCCAAAGUUCAUCAUAAACUUUUUCUUUACUCUAGCUCAUAUACU
rnacentral:lncRNA from 1 species